rnacentral:lncRNA from 1 species
AAAAUAAUCUUUCUUUUGCAAUGUAUGCCACAACUAGAUCUUAUGGUGAAAAAGUAGGAGUGAACUUGGCUAGGGAGGCCAAGACAAUACAGAUGGAUAUAGUUUUCAGGUGAUUGCAAAGCAGAUGACUGGGGUUCCUGCUUGUGUGGAGACUCAUUGCAGGGUGAACCCUGUGCUUUACAGUAAGGCUGGGAUGAAAAAGGAAGAAAUAGACUGCUGCUGUUCUUGAGCAGAGGUCAGCAGGCUGCCCAGAGGACAGAUGGUCUCAAUGGAGCCAGAGAGGAUAUGAGGCUGGCUGGCACUGAUGUAGGUGGACCUGUUGAGCAUAACUCUGUACAGCGAGUGUGAGCCAGAGCAUGCAUGAGCUAGGAUUUUCCUAGUGAUUUAGGCAGACUCUGCUCCAGACCUCAUCGGCCUGACCUGUCUACAGACCUGGAAUCUCCCUGCCAAGGCACAAUUCAGAAAGACACUUAGAACUGCAAUCUCUGGGGGUGAGGAGAGGGAGAUGGAGAAGGGACUUACAUGUGAAACAAACUUGUUCCCUAACUUGAACUAAUAAAAAAUUAAAAAAAAGAAAGAAAAAGAAAGAACUGCAAUCUCAGCACUUGGGAAGCUUGAGGCAGAAGGACUGAGAAUGCAAGUCUAGCUCACUGCAUAGUGUCAGCUUGCCUGGUCUAGAUAGUGAGACAUUGUCUUCUUACUUCCUCCACCCCCUAAAAAUAUGUAAUAGUCCUGGAAACCCAGACUAGAGGGGUGUGGAGUGACCAAGCCUGUCGAGACUAUCCUUAUAAGGGGUAUUAAUUUGGUUUCCUAUGUAGGGACCAUUAGACACUUCCUCCCCUUCUGGAAUUCACUGAGUCAUAUCAGAAGAGAAGAUGGGGCAAAAUGACCUUACAAUGAAGUAGCAUCCCUUUAUUAAACGAAUGAUGCUGUUGUUCAGCAAACAUUCCCUGAGUGUCCCAGUCAGUAUCAAGCACUGUGCUGGGUCCAAGAAUGAGGGCAACAAACCAGACAGAUGAUGUCUCACAAUUGGGGAAUCUGAUUGCUAGUGGGGGCAGAAAUGAGAGAAGAAAUAAAUGAGCUAGCAUAUUAUAGAUAACAAGCAGACUAAAGGGAAGAAGAUAUAGGAAGGUGAUAGAGACCAUUUGGAGUUUAGGGGUGGCUAUGUGGCUCUGCAAUCUCCCUGAUCUCAAUGCCUGGAUAAGUCUGGCGAUGUGUAGACCCAUGGAGUGGGUCCAGGCAUUGGGCAUUCUCAUGAACAGACACUGUGACAAGACUGUGAUGAAGAACAGAGGGAAGGUCACUGGGGCAGAGAUCAGAGAACAGGGGCUGGAAGGUGAAGGCAAGGUGAUAAAUAUGGACAAGAUGAAAACAACAGGCAGAGGCUUUAUGGAGUCUCUUGGUUCUAGCAAAGAGUUACAAUCUUCUGGAAGAAAGCUUGGAGGUCUUCGGGUACAGUUUUAAAUUUUUCUUUCUUCCUAGAGACCUUGGUUUAUGCAAAAUCCAAGGAAACAACAGAGAGGAAUUCUCUGCACUCUGACCUGAAUCUCUACUUCUACUCAAUUUGCCUCUCCUUAUCAGUUCAGUACAUUCAAGUUCAGUUUAAGAGGUAGCCUUUCUGUGGUUGCACAGUUGUAGUAUUUUCAAGAUAGCUAGGAAGCCUGUCACUCCACCCUCAGAAUGUGGAAUUUAUUUCCUUUGCUCUUGUUUCUUGGUUGAUCCUGACACUACUACUUUAACCAAAGGAUGUGGCAGAAUCAAGAUGGGCAGCUUCCACCUCCUCCUCAGCCGAUGUGCUCUUGUAGCCUUAGCUGCUGUCUAAGAUGCUCUCUCACCCUGUUGGAAACCACACAGGGGGAAAAAAAUCAACCAAAACCAGCCAAGCAAACAAACAAACAAACAAAAAACCCAAACAAGCAAAACAUAAGAAUCCCUGAGGUAUUGACUGGUGUCCAGAGCCAAGCUGUACCACCAACUCUAGCCCACCACAGUAGCCAUGCUGGUAACAGAGAAACAUGUUGGGCAUUCUGUCUUCCGAGCCCACAUCAUCUGAGCAGAAACACCAAUCCUGGUUCCCUUGUUGUGGACCUCAAUGUGGUGUCCACACUAAAUGGUACCUGUUUUCUUUCACUUUGUGCUGGGUAGUUUGACACCCAGCUGGAGAAAAGCUUUGAACAAAGAAUGGGAAUAUCACUUCUCAGGGCAAACCCAGUGAUUUCAUAAAGAAACUAAACAGCUCAGCUUGGGCAGCUGAGAGGUAGUAGACAGGGCAGGUUACCAGAUUUCAAAGAAGGGCCAUCCUGAGCUGUAAUCACAGUUUUACCCAGGUUCUGAGCUUCUUGGUUUCAGAGAAUAAUCCAUUCCUUAGAGGCUUCGUGCCAAACACCAACAUAAAGAUGUUGGUUGCUAAUAAGAAUUCAAUAAACGCUACUGUUAGGUGGUUAUCAGUGCCUUUCUGGGGAUGCUCUCAGUAGGGGGCUUGGUUAGGCAUUCAAUCAAAGAGGCAAUGUCUUGCCACUGUUGGAGCCUUUGGAAAACAGGUUGGGUAUAGAGGUAGAGAGGCAACUCAGUUUUUAAGUGAGCUUGCUGCCCUUCCAGAGGAUACAAGUUCAGUUCCCAGCACACACAUCGGGUGACUCAAAACCACCUGUCACUCCAGCUCUAGGGGUUCUGAUACUCUCUUCAGACUUCCAUGGACACUGGCACACACGUGUCAUGUAAUCACACAGACAGACACACAUACACAAAUAUAAAAAUAAAUAAAGAAGACAGGUUGGGUGGUAGCAGUAGCAGGCCUGUUGUAUAUAUGUGCUGAUGAGUUUCCUCAUGAGAUUAUGUGCUAUGUUCACACAAUACUUCUUUCAAUUGCGUUUGUAUUGAGGAGCUUUCCCCUUUCAUUUCUAGCUGCUGCUCAAAACCAAGGCAAGUGUUACUGUAGCCUAACACCUCUCUACUGUGGCUCAUUUACCCUCUUCAUUUUGUGUGUGUGCUUGGUUUUAAUUUUUGUUUUUCAUCUUACCGACAGAAUAGAACUUUAGGUGUAGAGUAUCUGGUAAGCACCAGCAUACCACUGGAGGUUCUUUUGACAUAAUUUAGUUUUGUUGUUUUAAAAAGCCCAUUGUUUGUUUCCUUUUAAACAUUAUAUACACAUUUCCUUGAAAAUAAGGAAAAUGAGUCAGUUUUUAAAAACUGUAGUAGGUAAGAAAUUGUGCAAGUUUCAUAGUUACAAGAGUAGGAUGAGGUCCCAGGUGACUGGUACAAAAAUGCCGCUCCAUUGAGCAUCCCCCAAACUUGGUCUCACUUUGAGUUGUCACAGUCAAGAAAAGCUGACAGAACCACUGAGUACAUGUCCUCUCCCUCUGUGUACACUAUAGUACACCUUGAACUCAGUGAGACAGGAUGGGGACCAGCAAGGCCCAACAGCAUCAUCUGUAAGCCUGUGCGUGAUGUGCAGUUAGCUGGUAGAUCCCUCAGCAGCGUUGGUCCAUGAGCCACCACACCUGCCCUGGGAUCCUGCCCAGGCAGUUGUGUCAGCUCAGCUCUCUCUGACCUUCCUCCUGUCUGCAGUUCUUGCCUCCCUAAUGCGCUCAGCACUUUCAGCUGUUCUGUGAUAGUCUCUGAGGGCACAGGGAUGAGAGCCUUGCUGAAAAUGUGCAUCUUCUGCAGAAAAGGGCCAUAGAACACUUAGAGAGGAAAAGGGCAAAAGAUCAAAGCGGUUUUGGAACAGAAGAGGAAAGAGGGGGCUAUAAAAUUUGAAUGAAGAGCCUGGAAAAAAGGAGCAGGAGAAGGUAGACAGGGCUUUGUUUGUAGUUAAGAGCUGAGAAGAGAAAAGGGAGGAGGAUGGGAGCCCUUUCAAUGAAGGGGCUGCUUAAAAGCUUAGGAGUUCAUUUCAUUGGAUGAAAGCAUCUCAGACUACCUAAGCUGUUGAUCUCGGGUACUGAAUGGAACUUUGGCAUUUUGCUCUGGCACACAGUGUCUCAGUGGCUCCAGGUGUCAUCCUCUGUGAAGUCUCCUGAACUCACAGAAUUUAAAACAGAAUUCUCCUUGCCCCAUAGUUCUGAUCUCACCCUGGGUUUCUUUAUUAUUUGUCAACAGUUGAUUUUAUUUGAGUUCAUUAUUGACUGACAUUCCCUAUUAGAUAGCAGCUGUCUUUGUUUCUUUAUACAGAGAGAAUUCAGUAAAUAAAUGUUUGGAGAACUAAUCUCAGCAGUUGGAGUGUCCAAGGUUUCCUAUAUGUCUAAUACAUACUAGGAAUCAAAGAUAAUCAGAUAGGAAUUUCCCCUAAUAAUUUAUAUAACAUGACUAGUUCCAGAGGGCUCACUAUGUUCUAGAUAUUUUAUAUUUUGUGUUAUAUUUAAUAUUAGAGGUGAUAUACAAUAUAAAUAUACUAAGUGACAGGUACUGUACACACUAACCUAUCGUGAGCAGCACAGAGAUGCUAAAUAGUGUGAUGAUCUGAGAACCAGGAAGAAGCAGAGUUCUAACUACAUGAAGGUGGGCAUGGCCUACACCAAAUCCCACUACAGGAGCAGUGCUAUCUUUGCAUCCUACCAUGUGCACAGCAAUAAAAUGAUCUUUGUUGUUCAAACAUCUUUGGGGGAACUGAGGGCCUGAAUCCAAGUAGGGGUAUGGGGGAAUCUAGCAUCCUUUCAGGCUGCAUUCUUGCUUCUAGUGGAUACUUGAUUCAAGGUUCAUCUAACUAGAAACAUGAGAGAAGGGCAAGGCAAGAGAGAGCUGCACAGACAGGCAUCUUUGGGGGGAAGUUUACAGAAUUCAGGGGAACAGCUAGAGAGUUCUAUGGAACCAUGUCCUUUCUUAUGUGCUCUGGGUAACCCUGUCCUAAGAGUGUCUGCCCUGUGGGGUGGCUACGGGCUGAGACACCUUGCAAGGUAUCUACAUGAAUAGUUCUACAUGAGUUUUCUUCUUAGAUGAGAGGAUACAGUGGUGAAAGGGGACACUACUGUCCACUUGCUCCUUCUGUUCUCAGCCCUGUGCUGUCAGUUGUCGGAGUCACAUUUUCCAAGUUCACCAUUACAAGAGGGAGGCUGUUCCCCUGACUCAGCUCGGCAACUACAGCAGACUUCCAUUGGCCUAACCACCGAGAGUUCAGGUUUACCUGGCACAGCAACUUGUGAAUCAUCCCAGAUAGUGUGUCUUCCUAAUGCUUACUUCUCUGCUUGCUAAAUCUGUUGUGACUACUCCAAAUGCUGCAAUCCAUCAUUCCUUUGCAGUACUUACAGUGUCUACCAUAAUGCUUAUGGGCGAGGCUUAUGGCACAGUUUUAUCCUAGAAUCACUUUUGAGAAAGUUAAUGAUGGAAUUAAAUCCAUGCUCAUGUCUGCACACGCUCCUGUGGCUUUCUGAGACAGACAUAUGAAUUAUAAAUAUGAGGGGAAGCAGGUAUUUUUGUAUUUAUCCUGCUAGGUAGGCCUUAUUCUCCUAUCUUAUACUUGGAGAUUGAGACUUAGCAUGGCCAAGGAACCUGUUACAGUCUUGUGGGUAUGCAGCAGUGGCCAUCUGAAUCCAGGGAGCUCUGACUCCAGAGCUCAUUGCACCAGCUCCUCCUGCUUGACUCGAUGUUGCCUAUUUAAUUAAUUAAGUAGUUUGGGAGCUACUUCACAGAGGAAGACGUGGAUAUUUACGUAAGGAAGAAUAGAGCCCCCCUGAUGAGUGAAUAGGUUAGUCUGAGUAAGAUAGUUCAAAGGCAGUAUUAAAAAUCUCCAGGGUUUCAUUGAAAUAGCAAUGUAAAAAAAUCCCCAGAGUAAAUACAUCACAUUGGAAAUAUUACAGGCAUCAGACUUUUUGGGGGGAGGGGGCAGUUAUUGGAUACAACGUUUUAGUGAGUUGAGGGAGGCCAAGAAAGACAGACACAGCAUGGGGAGAAGUGGAGGUAAGAGGCCGGGAACCAGCCUGAAGCAUCAGGAGACAGAGAAAGAACCAGGCAGACAACAUGAAGACUCUGUUUGGAAAUGCAUGGAGCUGUGCGGUAGGAGAAGAGCAUGCUGGGCGUUUGAACUCAACUUGAGGCAGGCUAAAGAUAUAGAAGUAGAAAGGAUGAAAGGUGUUGUUUGGGGGUGGAGGAGAGAUAGUCUGAGGAGGAUUUGGGAAGUGUUUUUUUAAAACAGGGGUCUGCCUUCAGUGAGAACCAUAGGAACAUAACAAAGGAAACUGAAGCUCCAGAAUGCUGCUUUGAAGAUACACCAUGAUUGUGACUGGCACCACCACUGAAGACACACCAUGCAUGUGGCUGGCACCAUGACAGAAGACACACCAUGAUUGUAGCUACACCAUGAUGAAUCUGUCCUUCAUAGGCAGGCCACCCUUGCUUCUCAGCUUCUCCCAACACUAGGUUGGAAGUGUAUUCAUGUACUACCUAAAUCCUGUAAACUGGGGACAAGCAGAGCUGUCACAGGACUUUAUCUUAAGUCACCUUUCAAGCUUCACUUAUGCCCUCUCUAUAUAAGGACCACACUGGCUCAGGAAUUUCCUAAUGGUUACACUGUGGGCCAUGGCAAUAAAGAACUCCUAAUUGAUGUCAACCAUGUCCUAUUUCUCUUUAAAACUCCAAUCUGUUUCCCUUCCUUUCCACUUUGAAGGUUGUUCUGAGCUAUGUGAUUACUCUCUGUUUUUCAGUCUUGGUGAAGGGAAGAGAACAGAAAGCUUCUGGCUGAUGUUUAUGAGGCCUGACACAUUCUUGAUGCUUCAAGUCUCAGUGCAGCUCUCUGCAGAGCAGCGAGAAGUGCAGACUUGAAGACAACUGGCAGAGAAUAAAGACUGAAAUGCCGUGAACAGAUGUGUAGUUAUUUACACCACUAGGAGGCUGGGGAGAGUGGAUAAAAACAGCUUUCACCCAGCAUUGGACAGAAGUCUCAAGAUGUUAUAAUGUGUGCACUGAGGACACCAAACUUGACACAAGACAAGGAGCAGUGUGCUGUUCCCACCCAUCAUUUUGGUAACUGCUUGAAAAAUGUCAUCUGUGUCCUGGAAGGUAAGCAGGAAAUGGUCUGAAUUAAUCGCUUACUUGGAAUCAAGGUGCAUCUAAGGGAACAGCCAAUUUCUAAUAUGGAAAGUGUUAGUUGUUUGCUUGCAAGCUUGAGUUCAG